rnacentral:rRNA from 1 species
GACGAACGCUGGCGGCGUGCCUAACACAUGCAAGUCGAGCGGGGUUGAAGCGAGAGGUAACUCGAGUUUCUACCUAGCGGCGGACGGGUGAGUAACGCGUGGGCAACCUGCCUCAAGGUCUGGGAUAACAGCCCGAAAGGGCUGCUAAUACCGGGUAUGCUUGUGGCCUCGCAUGGGGCUAUGAGCAAAGGGGAAACCCGCCUUGAGAUGGGCCCGCGUCCCAUCAGCUAGUUGGUGAGGUAAAAGCUCACCAAGGCGACGACGGGUAGCCGGCCUGAGAGGGUGACCGGCCACACUGGAACUGAGACACGGUCCAGACUCCUACGGGGGCAGCAGUGGGGAAUCUUCCACAAUGGGCGAAAGCCUGAUGGAGCGACGCCGCGUGAGCGAAGAAGGCCUUCGGGUUGUAAAGUCUCUGUCUGGAGGGACGAAGGAAGUGACGGUACCUCCGGAGGAAGCCACGGCUAACUACGUG